GAGAAUUGUGAAAGGAGAGAAGGUUAGCACUCCCCUUGACAAGGAUGGAAGAGGUUCUAGUGACCUUCAACACACAUACCCACCUACUUUAUCGCAUCUCUAUCCGUGUUUUU